GACUGUCCUCAUUUCAAGUGGAGCCAGAGCUGCCCGGGAUUGACGCAGCCAGGACCAGUCGAGAUGGGAUCGGCUUCCGGCUGCGUGAGCUCACUCCUCUUGGGGUGCAGAUCUCAGAGAAGUCGCCAGGGCCUGGCUUGCCCACUCAUUGGCUGGGGGCAAGUUUCCUAGACCGGGCAGUCUCCGAAAGACAAUCAGAGCACUCUUCCAAGAAGGGUGAGCAGAUACCAGGAAGCAGAAUUGAUGAGGUCCGCUCUGCAUCUCCUCCUCGGACAUGUAUUGGCACCUUCUGUAUGCCAGGCCCCCUCUCCAGAUACAACCACCCUGAACCUCAGAAGGCUUCCAGAUGUACUCCCCACUCUUACCAGCAACCUUGGCUCAGCUCCUUCUCCAUGGCUCACCUGUUGAAAUUACGUCCAGGCAUAAGCACCCCUGGAAGACUUUCCUGCCCCUGACCCCCACACACGCCCCUGUUCCUGCCUGCCCCCCCAGACUCCUUCAUUGUCCUCAUUCAUGCCUGUCCUGUCCUGGUCUGCGAGCUCCAUGAGGUCAGGGUCCUUACCUGUGGUACUUCUCUAUUCGCAUCUCCGUGCCUGGCUCCUGCUUGCCCUUCCACCCAAUCAGCGUGUGUGCAGUGCAUGGAUAUUAUAUGGGCCAAGGAGGAAGGCACCACGAUGGGAGCAGAGAUGGCCCUUCCUUCACCCUGGGGCACUCGGGAUGGUGUGGUAGUGAAAGAAAAAUAAACAGAUCAUCAGGUCACCAAGGAAAACAGAAACCACCUUCUGCCAGAUAUCGUGACAUGUGUGCAGAGCAGCAGGAAGUGAAGACAUGUGCGUUCCUGCCUCCCAUGAAGGAGUGCCCAGUUCAAGAGGAGCCCAAUGGAGCCCUCCUGUCGAGGCUGUAUGCCUAUGGGGUUAUGGAACCUUGUGGGCUUUUCUAGAGAAAACUCAACAGCUGUUUUCCAUAAAAUGUUUAAAAGAUCAAAUUGGCCUUAAUGCUGGAUUGUCUGUACAAGAUUAACAAUCCAUUGUGGCUUAUUUAUGCUUAAAGAUUUCUUGUUUAUUUCCUCUUGCAGUCAUGCACAUGAUUUGGGUAAAUUAUGAGAUGAGAAAUGGUUUUCAGAGUAUUAGAUGGAAUUCGCCCCCGUUGAAGUUUAUAAAUGUGUUCAGGGGAAGGGGGAGGAAAGAGUUCACUGCCUAAUCAGUUUUGCAAGUCAUGAAAAUUAAAUUCCUCUCCAGGUGUAGCUUCAGUCUCAUGCAACUUAAAGUGAUAACAGUUAAUUUGAUUUUUUAAAAAAUAUUAUUCCAAAAGAAAACCAUUUUAGGUCAUCUCUGCCAGCUCUUACUGUUCGUUUCCUUACUGCUUAAUAAAUAUAAAAAUAAAUCUGAUGGUUACAGACAGGA